rnacentral:pre_miRNA from 1 species
AAAAAGACAAACCCUGGGUUUCCGUGUCCAACGUUUAACUGUCCGUCUUAUAUGAAUUUUUUUAUAAUUAGUAUUUUCAUUGUUAUUAGAUGAUAAAACAUGAUUAAUACUUUAUGACUUGUCUUUUUAAUUUUUUUUAAAUAAGACGGACGAUCAAACGUUAGACACGAAAAUCUAGAGUU